rnacentral:rRNA from 1 species
ACUAACUAGGAUUCCCUUAGUAGCGGCGAGCGAACAGGGAAGAGCCCAGCACUGAAUCCCGCGGACCAUAAGGGACGCCGGGAAAUGUAGUGUUUGGGAGGAUUCGCUAUCCCGCGAUUUGGCAAGGCGUCCAAGUCCUUCUUGAACGGGGCCACUUACCCAUAGAGGGUGCCAGGCCCGUAGCGACCUUUGCCGAUUGCGGGAGGAUCUCUCCUCAGAGUCGGGUUGCUUGAGAGUGCAGCCCUAAGUAGGUGGUAAACUCCAUCUAAGGCUAAAUAUUACCACGAGACCGAUAGCGAACAAGUACCGUGAGGGAAAGUUGAAAAGAACUUUGAAGAGAGAGUUCAAUAGUACGUGAAACCGUUCAGGGGUAAACCUGAGAAACCCGAAAGUUCGAACGGGGAGAUUCAGCGUGUCUCGAGGCGUGCGAGUGCCGGUCGAUACACGAGACGGUCGUCGUUUACGACGCUCCGCUCCGAUCGUGCGCCGCUACGCAGCGAACGCGUGCACUUCUCUCCCAGUAGGACGUCGUGACCCGUUGGGUGUCGGUCUGAGGCCCACGUGGGAGCCCGUUCGAGCGGCGUAAGCCGUUUCAUCGUUCGGACCCGUGGUGUUCCCGGCCGGCUCGCCCGACGGUAGGACAGUGGCGCGGAGCCGCGACUUGCUCGCGUUCGGCCCGUCGCAAGCGCGAUCGGUAACCCGGCGGUCGGACUUUUGUGCCGACUCCGGGCCCGUUCGGCUGCUGGCGGCGGUCGUCUCGAACAGACUCCGUUCUUAACGAUUCACGCCCGUCUGCGACGCUAUAGCUUUGGGUACUUUCAGGACCCGUCUUGAAACACGGACCAAGGAGUCUAGCAUGUGCGCGAGUCAUUGGGACCAACGAAUCCUAAAGGCGCAAUGAAAGUAAAGGUUGGGCCUUGCGCUCAUGCCUAGGGAGGAUGGGCCACGGCACAACGUGGCCUCGCACUCCCGGGGCGUCUCGUUCUCAUUGCGAGAAGAGGCGCACCCAGAGCGUACACGCUGGGACCCGAAAGAUGGUGAACUAUGCCUGGUCAGGACGAAGUCAGGGGAAACCCUGAUGGAGGUCCGUAGCGAUUCUGACGUGCAAAUCGAUCGUCGGAACUAGGUAUAGGGGCGAUAGACCAAUCGAACCAUCUAGUAGCUGGUUCCCUCCGAAGUUUCCCUCAGGAUAGCUGGCGCUCGGAUGAAACGAGUUUCAUCCGGUAAAGCGAAUGAUUAGAGGCAUUGGGGUCGAAACGUCCUCAACCUAUUCUCAAACUUUAAAUGGGUGAGAAAUCCGGCUUGCUUGAACAAGUUCUUGAAGCCGCGAGAUUCAUAGAAUCAGAG